UACGUAGGGUGCGAGCGUUAAUCGGAAUUACUGGGCGUAAAGCGUGCGCAGGCGGUGAUGUAAGACCGAUGUGAAAUCCCCGGGCUUAACCUGGGAACUGCAUUGGUGACUGCAUUGCUGGAGUAUGGCAGAGGGGGGUGGAAUUCCACGUGUAGCAGUGAAAUGCGUAGAGAUGCGGAGGAACACCGAUGGCGAAGGCAGCCCCCUGGGCUGACACUGACGCUCAGGCACGAAAGCGUGGGGAGCAAACAGG
rnacentral:rRNA from 1 species